AUGCAAGGUGCUAAAAUUGAGAAUAUGGAGUCCUUUGAAGAUCAUCGCUCUACCUGCUCCGCAAUACAUCAACUGGCGACACAACAAGACCCAUCUUCUGUUGCAGGUACUGCCAUUUUCUGUGACGCGACUUGGAAGAUUGAAAGGGACAUUGAUUCAGCACCAGCGGGCAGAGGAAUCAUCAUCAAAACUGAUACCAAUCAACACUUCAAACUGUUGCAUGUUUCAGCCCUAUCUCCACCAGCAGUAUCUUCUCUUCAAGCAGAAAUUUUUGGCCUGCUUCUAGCGACCAUGUUGGAUGAAAAGCUUCGCAUACAGGAACCAACUUUUUUCACAGAUUCCGUGAUAUUGGCUUCGGAGGUGACAACUACAUCCGUCUUCAACACUGCAGGUCAUUGGGUCAUCAGACAACUCCUUGCAGCUAUUCAACAGUCCACGGUUUUCCAUCCAACCAAAAUAGCUCAUGUUAACAGGUGCUUCAAUGUAAAAGUUCAUCAUCAGCCCCAAUUAGCUCUCGAAAUUCAGUUUAGGUCUCUACCUGUUAGGUGUGUGUCUUCAGUUUCAGGUCAAUGUUCAGGGAGAGAUGUUCUCCCAUUGUUCAGUGUGAGUCCCUUCACACUCCUCUCUGUAAAAUGUUGCUAG
rnacentral:rRNA from 1 species